ensembl:snRNA U6 U6 spliceosomal RNA
UGCUAAAUUAUAAGGGGCUAUAUACUAAAACUGAAAUGAUUUAGAGAAAAUUAGUGGAGGACCUAAACAAAGAUGACGUGCAAAUUUGUGAAGCAUUUCAUUUUUUU